rnacentral:misc_RNA from 1 species
UCCUGCUUGUACAGGCAGUCUGUCUAGAGUGCCCGGCUUUACCCGGUAGCAACUAGACACAGGGGUUGCGUUCGUUGCGGGACUUAACCCAACACCUCACGGCACGAACUGACGACAGCCAUGCAGCACCUGUGCAGCACCCUCGAAGGCUGUCCGCCUUUCAGCGAACAUGCAGCUGCAUGUCAAGCCCUGGUAAGGUUCUUCGCGUUGCAUCGAAUUAAGCCACAUGCUCCUCCGCUUGUGCGGGCCCCCGUCAAUUUCUUUGAGUUUUAACCUUGCGGCCGUACUCCCCAGGCGGUGCACUUAACGCGUUAGCUACGGCACGGGAGGGGUCAAAUCCUCCCACACCAAGUGCACAACGUUUACAGCUAGGACUAC